CGGAGGAAAAGAAACUAACAAGGAUUCCCCUAGUAACGGCGAGUGAAGCGGGAAGAGCUCAAAUUUGUAAUCUGGCCCUUUCAGGGUCCGAGUUGUAAUCUCGAGAAGUGUUUUCCGCGCCGGACCGCAUACAAGUCUGUUGGAAUACAGCGUCAUAGUGGUGAGAGCCCCGUAAUUGAUGUGGAUGCCCGGUGCUUUGUGAUACACUUUCGAAGAGUCGAGUUGUUUGGGAAUGCAGCUCAAAUUGGGUGGUAAAUUCCAUCUAAAGCUAAAUAUUGGCGAGAGACCGAUAGCGAACAAGUACCGUGAGGGAAAGAUGAAAAGCACUUUGGAAAGAGAGUUAACAGUACGUGAAAUUGUUGGAAGGGAAACGCUUGAAGUCAGACUUGCUAUUCGGAAUUCAGCCGCAAGGUGUACUUUUCGAUUUGCAGGCCAGCAUCAGUUUUUGGGGGUGGAAAAGGGUGGAGAGAAGGUAGCAACCUUGGUUGUGUUAUAGCUCUUUACUGGAUUCAUCUUUGGGGACUGAGGAUCGCAGUGCGCAAUUUACUUUGCAAACCUUUCGAGGUUUUCGUACUUAGGAUGCUGGUGGAAUGGCUUUAAACGACCCGUCU
rnacentral:rRNA from 1 species